UACGAAGGGGGCUAGCGUUGCUCGGAAUGACUGGGCGUAAAGGGCGCGUAGGCGGCUUGCACAGUCAGGCGUGAAAUUCCAGGGCUCAACCUUGGGGCUGCGUUCGAGACGGGUAUUCUUGAGUUCGGAAGAGGGUCGUGGAAUUCCCAGUGUAGAGGUGAAAUUCGUAGAUAUUGGGAAGAACACCGGUGGCGAAGGCGGCGACCUGGUCCGAGACUGACGCUGAGGCGCGAAAGCGUGGGGAGCAAACAGG
rnacentral:rRNA from 1 species